ensembl:snRNA U6 U6 spliceosomal RNA
GUGCUUGCUUCAGCAGCACAUAUACUAAAACUGGAAUAGUACAGAAAAAAUUAGUAUGGCCUUUGCACAAAGAUAACACAAAAAUUUGUUCAGUGUUCCAUGUUUUU